GAUGAACGCUGGCGGCGUGCCUAAUACAUGCAAGUCGAGCGAACAGAUGAGGAGCUUGCUCCUCUGACGUUAGCGGCGGACGGGUGAGUAACACGUGGAUAACCUACCUAUAAGACUGGGAUAACUUCGGGAAACCGGAGCUAAUACCGGAUAAUAUAUUGAACCGCAUGGUUCAAUAGUGGAAGACGGUUUUGCUGUCACUUAUAGAUGGAUCCGCGCCGCAUUAGCUAGUUGGUAAGGUAACGGCUUACCAAGGCAACGAUGCGUAGCCGACCUGAGAGGGUGAUCGGCCACACUGGAACUGAGACACGGUCCAGACUCCUACGGGAGGCAGCAGUAGGGAAUCUUCCGCAAUGGGCGAAAGCCUGACGGGGCAACGCCGCGUGAGUGAUGAAGGUCUUCGGAUCGUAAAACUCUGUUAUUAGGGAAGAACAAAUGUGUAAGUAACUAUGCACGUCUUGACGGUACCUAAUCAGAAAGCCACGGCUAACUACGUG
rnacentral:rRNA from 1 species